rnacentral:rRNA from 1 species
UACAGGGGGUGCAAACGUUGCUCGGAAUCAUUGGGCGUAAAGCGCACGUAGGCGGUUCGUUAUGUCGGAUGUGAAAGCCCUUGGCUUAACCGAGGAAGUGCAUCCGAAACUGGCGAGCUAGAGUACUAAAGAGGAUCGCGGAAUUCCCGGUGUAGAGGUGAAAUUCGUAGUUAUCGGGAGGAACACCGGUGGCGAAGGCGGCGAUCUGGGUAGAUACUGACGCUGAGGUGCGAAAGCGUGGGGAGCAAACAGG